rnacentral:rRNA from 1 species
UACGGGGGGAGCAAGCGUUGUUCGGAUUUACUGGGCGUAAAGGGCGCGUAGGCGGCGUGACAAGUCACUUGUGAAAUCUCCGGGCUUAACUCGGAACGGUCAAGUGAUACUGUCGUGCUAGAGUACAGAAGGGGCAACUGGAAUUCUCGGUGUAGCGGUGAAAUGCGUAGAUAUCGAGAGGAACACCUGCGGCGAAGGCGGGCUGCUGGGCUGAUACUGACGCUGAGGCGCGAAAGCCAGGGGAGCGAACGGG